UACUCCUACGGGAGGCAGCAGUAGGGAAUCUUCCGCAAUGGGCGAAAGCCUGACGGAGCAACGCCGCGUGAGUGAUGAAGGUCUUCGGAUCGUAAAACUCUGUUAUUAGGGAAGAACAUAUGUGUAAGUAACUGUGCACAUCUUGACGGUACCUAAUCAGAAAGCCACGGCUAACUACGUGCCAGCAGCCGCGGUAAUACGUAGGUGGCAAGCGUUAUCCGGAAUUAUUGGGCGUAAAGCGCGCGUAGGCGGUUUUUUAAGUCUGAUGUGAAAGCCCACGGCUCAACCGUGGAGGGUCAUUGGAAACUGGAAAACUUGAGUGCAGAAGAGGAAAGUGGAAUUCCAUGUGUAGCGGUGAAAUGCGCAGAGAUAUGGAGGAACACCAGUGGCGAAGGCGACUUUCUGAUCUGUAACUGACGCUGAUGUGCGAAAGCGUGGGGAUCAAACAGGAUUAGAUACCCUGGUAGUCCACGCCGUAAACGAUGAGUGCUAAGUGUUAGGGGGUUUCCGCCCCUUAGUGCUGCAGCUAACGCAUUAAGCACUCCGCCUGGGGAGUACGACCGCAAGGUUGAAACUCAAAGGAAUUGACGGA
rnacentral:rRNA from 1 species